GACAGAGGUGCCAAGCGUUAGGCGGAAUCACUGGGCUUAAAGCGUGUGUAGGUGGAUGCCUAAGUGCCUUGUGAAAUCCCACGGCUCAACCGUGGAAUUGCUGGGCAUACUGGGUGUCUUGAGCCAUCCAGGGGUCGCUGGAACAAACGGUGGAGCGGUGAAAUGCGUAGAUAUCUGGAGGAACACCGGUGGCGAAGGCGGCAUCCUGGACCGACAUUGACGCUGAGGAGCGAAAGCCAGGGGAGCAAACGGG
rnacentral:rRNA from 1 species